AAAAAAGGUAAGCUACUAAGAGCGAAUGGUGGAUGCCUUGACUGGUAAAGGCGAUGAAGGACGUACUAGACUGCGAUAAGCUACGGGGAGCUGUCAAGAAGCUUUGAUCCGUAGAUUUCCGAAUGGGGCAACCCAAUGUAUAGAGAUAUACAUUACCUAUAUAGGAGCGAACGAGGGGAAUUGAAACAUCUUAGUACCCUCAGGAAAAGAAAUCAAUAGAGAUUGCGUCAGUAGCGGCGAGCGAAAGCGCAAGAGGGCAAACCCAGUGCUUGCACUGGGGGUUGUAGGACUGCAAUGUGCAAGAGGUAAGUUUAGCAGAACAUUCUGGAAAGUAUAACCAUAGAGGGUGAUAGUCCCGUAUGCGAAAAACAAACCUUAGCUAGCAGUAUCCUGAGUAGGGCGGGACACGAGGAAUCCUGUCUGAAUCCGGGUCGACCACGAUCCAACCCUAAAUACUAAUACCAGAUCGAUAGUGCACAAGUACCGUGAGGGAAAGGUGAAAAGAACUGAGGUGAUCAGAGUGAAAUAGAACCUGAAACCAUUUGCUUACAAUCAUUCAGAGCCCUAUGUAGCAAUACAGGGUGAUGGACUGCCUUUUGCAUAAUGAGCCUGCGAGUUGUGGUGUCUGGCAAGGUUAAGCAAACGCGAAGCCGUAGCGAAAGCGAGUCUGAAUAGGGCGCUUAGUCAGAUGCUGCAGACCCGAAACGAAGUGAUCUAUCCAUGAGCAAGUUGAAGCUAGUGUAAGAACUAGUGGAGGACUGAACCCAUAGGCGUUGAAAAGCCCCGGGAUGACUUGUGGAUAGGGGUGAAAGGCCAAUCAAACUUCGUGAUAGCUGGUUCUCUCCGAAAUAUAUUUAGGUAUAGCGUUGUGUCGUAAUAUAAGGGGGUAGAGCACUGAAUGGGCUAGGGCAUACACCAAUGUACCAAACCCUAUCAAACUCCGAAUACCUUAUAUGUAAUCACAGCAGUCAGGCGGCGAGUGAUAAAAUCCGUCGUCAAGAGGGAAACAACCCAGACUACCAGCUAAGGUCCCUAAAUCUUACUUAAGUGGAAAACGAUGUGAAGUUACUUAAACAACCAGGAGGUUGGCUUAGAAGCAGCCAUCCUUUAAAGAAAGCGUAAUAGCUCACUGGUCUAGUGAUUUUGCGCGGAAAAUAUAACGGGGCUAAAGUAAGUACCGAAGCUGUAGACUUGCGCACAACUUAGAUUAUUUAAGUUUAGAAUAUGAGAAACUAAGUUAUAUGUUUAGUUAUAUUUUUACUGAUUUUUAUAGAGUAAAGAUAGAAAUAAAACUUAGUAAAAUCAGUAAAAAUAUUCUUAGACUAAAGUUAAGUAGUUUAAGUUGUGUGCAAGUGGUAGGAGAGCGUUCUAUUUGCGUCGAAGGUAUACCGGUAAGGAGUGCUGGAGCGAAUAGAAGUGAGCAUGCAGGCAUGAGUAGCGAUAAUUAAUGUGAGAAUCAUUAACGCCGUAAACCCAAGGUUUCCUACGCGAUGCUCGUCAUCGUAGGGUUAGUCGGGUCCUAAGUCGAGUCCGAAAGGGGUAGACGAUGGCAAAUUGGUUAAUAUUCCAAUACCAACAUUAGUGUGCGAUGGAAGGACGCUUAGGGCUAAGGGGGCUAGCGGAUGGAAGUGCUAGUCUAAGGUCGUAGGAGGUUAUACAGGCAAAUCCGUAUAACAAUACUCCGAGAACUGAAAGGCUUUUUGAAGUCUUCGGAUG
rnacentral:rRNA from 1 species